AUGAAAAUCAUUGAUCUCUACAAAUCCCUCACUUUACCAUGACCUCUCGGUAGGGCUUCCCUGCCGGCUGACGGACUAAUCAUUUCACUGUGAGAUGCUCUGAAAGACCUGCGUGAGUUUGUGUUUUAGGAAAAUCCUUCAGGCUACAACAUGGGGAACAAACAGAAAUAGCAAGAAAGAGGCCAGUCACAGGAAAUGCACUCAGACAAUUUUGCGACAACCCAGCACAAGAGUGAGCUCAGAGAAGUUGAUGAACCUGCCAAGGACCCCAGCUGAGAGACUGAAUUGGUGUGCAGAUUCCAAAGCUCACAUGCAUUCCAUUUUAUCUCAUCUUCAGUGGACUUUGAACAUGACUCAGCCUUCACCUUGACCCUUGGUGAAGUUACUGAGAAUCAAGACCCAGUGUGGCCAUGUCUCGGGAGCUUCCUGCAGCUCAGCAGCUGACUCCCAAACCUGGAGGUCCUCACUCUGCAUCCUGUACUCUGCCCUCUGGCUGAUCGUCAGCAUUCUCAGGCAGCCUGGCUCCCUGUAAAGUUGCUAAAACUUGUGUUUAUCAUCAUCUUCCAUCAUUUCUAAUUGUUUUCCUGUGUCCCUUUCUUUUGUAGAGGAUAUAAACUCAGCAUUUUAGCUUUUGAAAUAGAUUUGCUGUGCAGAUUCAUGGCUUUUGAGUGGCUUAAAAUGUAUUGUUCUGCGAGUCUCUCUGUACCAGUCACAGCAUUCACUGUGGGAAGCAGCAGGACGCCAGUGAUGCUGAUGUUUAUUUGACUUUAGGGGGCUUUAAGGCAUUCCUGGGACCAUAAGGAUUAGAAAUAUUCUGCCUCGUUGUCUUCAGAAGCUACUAAAAUAUCCUAGAAAUUAUCAUGUUUCAUAUUUCACAUUGCCUCUUGUAUCCUUACAUGGCCUUUAUCAAGAGCCUGGCAUAAACCACUGUAAUGGUUCUGAAAUAGGAACAUCAUGGUUCUCCAAUCACUAAAGCCCUUUCCACUCUGAGACUGGACAUUCAUUGCUGUUUUCUGCCUGCGCUCUGAUUUACAAGACUGUCUAUGAAUUCUCUGUUUAAUAUACAGUACGUGGUUGGUUGCCCUCAAUGCAUGAGACUUCCUGGUAUUUUUUCACGUGGUUAGAUGGAUAACAUUUGUUACAUAUUUAUUGUUUAGAUAUACUAGCAAUCCUCACUUUGCAGAAUAUCAGGUCUGCAUAUUGAAACCAUGUACUCACUUUGAACAAUCCUGUGGUAACUGUGAAGUGAGAACACAGGUCUGAUAGAUAUGCGUUUCAUUGGUAGUAUGCAUUGUGAAGACUAUCUGAAAUUGUUUUCAAAUAAAAUUUGGAUAAGGACUGUAACUACA
rnacentral:lncRNA from 13 species